rnacentral:rRNA from 1 species
GGGGAAUUUUCCGCAAUGGGCGAAAGCCUGACGGAGCAAUACCGCGUGAGGGAUGACGGCCUAUGGGUUGUAAACCUCUUUUUUCAGGGAGGAAUCAAUGACGUGUACCUGAAGAAUAAGCAUCGGCUAACUCCGUGCCAGCAGCCGCGGUAAUACGGGAGUGGCAAGCGUUAUCCGGAAUUAUUGGGCGUAAAGCGUCCGCAGGCGGUCUUGAAAGUCUGUUGUUAAAGCGUGGAGCUUAACUCCAUUUCAGCAAUGGAAACUUCAAGACUAGAGUGUGGUAGGGGCAGAGGGAAUUCCCGGUGUAGCGGUGAAAUGCGUAGAUAUCGGGAAGAACACCAGUGGCGAAGGCGCUCUGCUGGGCCAUAACUGACGCUCAUGGACGAAAGCCAGGGGAGCGAAAGGGAUUAGAUACCCCUGUAGUC